UUUCUCCAGCUGCCCCUUCUCUUUUCCCUCUCAUUUUACCCUCCGAGAGCAUCCCAAGCAACGGACUCACCACCAUCGGGUGCUUAGCCAAGGAUGUCGUGCCUCCCGUGAUCAGUUUCACCUGGGACAAUCAGAACGUCAGCAUCAAUGCAAAUAACAUCAAGCAGUUCCCUUCCGCUUUCAACCCUGCUGGGACGUUCACCUCCAGCUCUCAGGUGACCAUCUCUGCCAAUGACUGGUGGAAUUUUCAGCCAUUCCAUUGCACGGCUAAUAACACCAAUGGAACUGCAGUGGCACAAGUCAUUCGUCCAACUUCCUGUCUGAAGCCUGAGAUGAUUAUCCGUGCGCCACGCCUAGAAGAUUUUGAGAAUUCUGACCCAAAUGCCACCAUUGUCUGCAUGGCUGUUAAUUUGCACACUGCCAGAGCCACAGUCCAGUGGCUGAAGAAUGGUCAUACACUCAACUCUGGCUUCACCACCACUGGACCAGCCGUAAUGGGUCGUAAUGGCUACAGCAUCGUCAGCGAGCUCACAGUCGACAGAAGGGACUGGGUUUCUGAGAAGACAUUCUCCUGUGAAGUGCACAGCGAGAACUUCACCGGCAUCAAAAAUAUCAGCAAGCCCCUAGUCUGUGACCUUGGUCCUUGUUCAGAUGCUCAAGUCCGUGUGGAGACCAUCCCACCAUCCUUUACUGAUAUUUACAUGACCAAAUCAGCCAAGCUGACCUGCAGAAUCUCCAACAUGCCCUAUGAUCAGGAUCUUAAAGAACUGAGCAUCACCUGGACACGGGAACGUGACAACACACAGCUGGAGACCGUAAUUGGAGAGUCUAUCGCACAAGAAGACAAUGAAUUCAUAUUUGUAGACGCAACAGCAACUGUGUGCCCAGAAGAAUGGGACAGUGGGGACAUCUUUAAGUGCAAAGUUACUAUUCCCUCCCUUCUUCCCACAGCUGAAACAAGAACCCUGCAGAAGCUUAAAGGUGGGACUCCCCACGCACCUGCUGUCUAUGUCCUCCCCCCACCCUCAGAACAACUGACUUUACAGGAGACGGCCACCCUCACUUGCCUGCUGAAAGGUUUCUACCCCAAUGAAUUCUUUGUGAAGUGGCUCCGGAAUGAUGAGCCUGUGGGAGACUCAGAGUACUUCAUCAGCCAACCCAUACAGGAAUCCAAGACCCCCGAGCGGUACUUCACCUAUAGCACGUUGAAUGUCAAAGAGCAGGACUGGAGUUAUGGAGUCAUUUACACUUGCGUGGUGGGACAUGAGGCGCUUCCCCUCCAGACAACCCAGAAGACCAUAGACAAGAAAACGGGUAAACCCACCCUUGUCAACGUCUCCCUGGUGCUCUCUGAUACCACCAACACUUGCUACUAACCGUCGUCACCAUUUGUGUUGAUGACCCUCCAGUCCUCUAUUUCCACCUGCAUCUUUCUUUUGUUGUGCCUCCUCUUGUCUUCCUAUGGGCUUUUUAAUGGAAAGGAGGGGUGAUGUUGGGUAUCUAAAAAAUAGAGGUCUAAAAUGUCAAGUCGUUCACCUACUUGAGGCCGAGUAACUGUUUGCAAUAAACUAUGUUU